GCCCUACGGGACGCAGCAGUGGGGAAUAUUGCACAAUGGGGGAAACCCUGAUGCAGCGACGCCGCGUGAAGGAUGAAGUAUUUCGGUAUGUAAACUUCUAUCAGCAGGGAAGAAAAUGACGGUACCUGACUAAGAAGCCCCGGCUAACUGCGUGCCAGCAGCCGCGGUAAUACGUAGGGGGCAAGCGUUAUCCGGAUUUACUGGGUGUAAAGGGAGCGUAGGCGGCAUAGCAAGUCUGAAGUGAAAGCCCGUGGCUCAACCGCGGCACUGCUUUG
rnacentral:rRNA from 1 species